rnacentral:rRNA from 1 species
GUGGGGAAUAUUGCACAAUGGGGGAAACCCUGAUGCAGCGACGCCGCGUGAAGGAAGAAGUAUCUCGGUAUGUAAACUUCUAUCGGCAGGGAAGAAUAAGGACGGUACCUGACUAAGAAGCCCCGGCUAACUACGUGCCAGCAGCCGCGGUAAUACGUAGGGGGCGAGCGUUAUCCGGAUUCACUGGGUGUAAAGGGAGCGUAGACGGCUGGGCAAGCCUGAUGUGAAAGGCGGGGGCGCAACCCUCGGACUGCAUUGGGAACUGUCCGGCUGGAGCGCCGGAGGGGUAAGCGGAAUUCCUGGUGUAGCGGUGAAAUGCGUAGAUAUCAGGAGGAACACCGGUGGCGAAGGCGGCUUACUGGACGGCGUCUGACGUUGAGGCUCGAAAGCGUGGGGAGCGAACAGGA